rnacentral:rRNA from 1 species
GAUGAACGCUGGCGGCGUGCCUAAUACAUGCAAGUCGAGCGAACAGAUGAGGAGCUUGCUCCUCUGACGUUAGCGGCGGACGGGUGAGUAACACGUGGAUAACCUACCUAUAAGACUGGGAUAACUUCGGGAAACCGGAGCUAAUACCGGAUAAUAUAUUGAACCGCAUGGUUCAAUAGUGAAAGACGGUUUUGCUGCCACUUAUAGAUGGAUCCGCGCCGCAUUAGCUAGUUGGUAAGGUAACGGCUUACCAAGGCAACGAUGCGUAGCCGACCUGAGAGGGUGAUCGGCCACACUGGAACUGAGACACGGUCCAGACUCCUACGGGAGGCGGCAGUAGGGAAUCUUCCGCAAUGGGCGAAAGCCUGACGGAGCAACGCCGCGUGAGUGAUGAAGGUCUUCGGAUCGUAAAACUCUGUUAUUAGGGAAGAACAAAUGUGUAAGUAACUAUGCACGUCUUGACGGUACCUAAUCAGAAAGCCGCGGCUAACUACGUG